AUUACUGAAUUUUCAUCUCAUGAUUCACGGGUAUUUUAAAACCAGUCUUUGACAGAAGGACAAUCCUUUAUCACUAUAUCAAGGAACUAUAUGCACCCAACAUGCCUUGUUCUGGAAGCCAUUUUGCAGACCAUACUUCUGAAGACUGGGUGCAGCAGCAGAAAUCAUAGAGCAUGAAAGAAUCAUAGAAUGGCCUGGGUUGAAAAGGACCACAAUGAUCAUCCAGUUCCAACCCCCUGCUAUGUGCAGGGUCGCCAACCACCAGACCAGGCUGCCCAGAGCCACAUCCAGCCUGGCCUUGAAUGUCUCCAGGGAUGGGGCAUCCACAACCUUCUUGGGCAACGUGUUCCAGUGCAUAACCACCCUCAGUGUGAAAAACUUCCUCCUAAUAUCUAAAAUAACUUUUCCCUUUUUCUCUCCCUGCUUCCCCAGUAUCUUUGUACAAAGCUGCCCUCUGUAUGUUUCAUUUAAUUUAGGAACCAUCAAGAUCUGAUCCAAGGUCUUUCGAAAUCAAUGAGAAAAAAAAUAAAUUAAUUGACUUCAGGACCUUAAUCAUUGCCAUUUGGAUCAAAACAGCCAGCUGUUAGUCCCUAGCAGCAGAGACAAUUGAAGUAAAUUGAUUGCAUGUGGUGCUGGUGCAGAACUCAGCAUGGCCUUCUGGAAGAAUUCUGUUGCUAAGAAAUCACAGAGCUACCUUCUUAAAACAGACUUCUGGAAUUUCAAAGUGCUGUUCUUGUCUUUAAGGUGUUGUGUAUUAUAUCAAAAUUCAACUGGAGAAAGAAGAUGGGAGAUUUGUUUGAGGGUUGAUCUGUAGGGCUGAAAAUCUGUCCUGCCCUAAUUCUGGAAUGCAAAAUGGGAUCCAGGUGAAUCUGUAUAACUUCAGUCUUAGGGGGGAAGUUAAAUGUAGAUAACUGUAAAAAAAAAAAAAAAAAAAAAAAAGUAGAAAAAAACUCCAUAACUGGAAAGAAACUCAAAAGAUGUGCUAUUAAACCUCUGUGGUUAUUGAGUU